GGGUCGGUGGUCUAGCCCGGUUAUGACGCCUGGCUUACACCCAGGAUAUCAACAAAGGUUGUUGACCUUGGAAAUCAGCAGUUCGAAUCUGCUCCGACCCA
rnacentral:tRNA from 1 species